UACGUAGGGACCAAGCGUUGUUCGGAUUUACUGGGCGUAAAGGGCGCGUAGGCGGCAAUUCAAGUCAGCUGUGAAAUCUCCGGGCUUAACUCGGAACGGUCAGCUGAUACUGUUUUGCUAGAGUGCAGAAGGGGCAAUCGGAAUUCUCGGUGUAGCGGUGAAAUGCGUAGAUAUCAGGAGGAACACCGGUGGCGAAGGCGGGUCUCUGGGCAGUAACUGACGCUGAGGAGCGAAAGCGUGGGGAGCGAACAGG
rnacentral:rRNA from 1 species